GAAAGGGCGCACGGUGGAUGCCUUGGCACUAGGAGCCGAUGAAGGACGGGACGAACACCGAUAUGCUUCGGGGAGCUGUAAGCAAGCUUUGAUCCGGAGAUUUCCGAAUGGGGAAACCCACCACUCGUAAUGGAGUGGUAUCCAUAUCUGAAUACAUAGGAUAUGAGAAGGCAGACCCGGGGAACUGAAACAUCUAAGUACCCGGAGGAAGAGAAAGCAAAUGCGAUUCCCUGAGUAGCGGCGAGCGAAACGGGACCAGCCCAAACCAAGAGGCUUGCCUCUUGGGGUUGUAGGACACUCUGUACGGAGUUACAAAGGAACGAGGUAGAUGAAGAGGUCUGGAAAGGCCCGCCAUAGGAGGUAACAGCCCUGUAGUCAAAACUUCGUUCUCUCCUGAGUGGAUCCUGAGUACGGCGGAACACGUGAAAUUCCGUCGGAAUCCGGGAGGACCAUCUCCCAAGGCUAAAUACUCCCUAGUGACCGAUAGUGAACCAGUACCGUGAGGGAAAGGUGAAAAGCACCCCGGAAGGGGAGUGAAAGAGAUCCUGAAACCGUGUGCCUACAAGUAGUCAGAGCCCGUUAACGGGUGAUGGCGUGCCUUUUGUAGAAUGAACCGGCGAGUUACGAUCCCGUGCAAGGUUAAGCAGAAGAUGCGGAGCCGCAGCGAAAGCGAGUCUGAAUAGGGCGAAUUGAGUACGUGGUCGUAGACCCGAAACCAGGUGAUCUACCCAUGUCCAGGGUGAAGUUCAGGUAACACUGAAUGGAGGCCCGAACCCACGCACGUUGAAAAGUGCGGGGAUGAGGUGUGGGUAGGGGUGAAAUGCCAAUCGAACCUGGAGAUAGCUGGUUCUCUCCGAAAUAGCUUUAGGGCUAGCCUCAAGGUAAGAGUCUCGGAGGUAGAGCACUGAUUGGACUAGGGGCCCCUACCGGGUUACCGAAUUCAGUCAAACUCCGAAUGCCGAUGACUUAUCCUUGGGAGUCAGACUGCGAGUGAUAAGAUCCGUAGUCGAAAGGGAAACAGCCCAGACCGCCAGCUAAGGUCCCAAAGUAUACGUUAAGUGGAAAAGGAUGUGGAGUUGCUUAGACAACCAGGAUGUUGGCUUAGAAGCAGCCACCAUUUAAAGAGUGCGUAAUAGCUCACUGGUCGAGUGACUCUGCGCCGAAAAUGUACCGGGGCUAAACGUAUCACCGAAGCUGCGGACUGUUCUUCGAACAGUGGUAGGAGAGCGUUCUAAGGGCUGUGAAGCAAGACCGGAAGGACUUGUGGAGCGCUUAGAAGUGAGAAUGCCGGUAUGAGUAGCGAAAGAGGGGUGAGAAUCCCCUCCACCGAAUGCCUAAGGUUUCCUGAGGAAGGCUCGUCCGCUCAGGGUUAGUCGGGACCUAAGCCGAGGCCGAAAGGCGUAGGCGAUGGAUAACAGGUUGAUAUUCCUGUACCACCUCCUCACCAUUUGAGCAAUGGGGGGGACGCAGGAGGAUAGGGUAAGCGCGGUAUUGGAAUAUCCGCGUCCAAGCAGUUAGGCUGGAAAUAGGCAAAUCCGUUUUCCCCGUGAAGGCUGAGCUGUGAUGGCGAGCGAAUUAUAGUAGCGAAGUUCCUGAUUCCACACUGCCAAGAAAAGCCUCUAGCGAGGUGAGAGGUGCCCGUACCGCAAACCGACACAGGUAGCGCGAGGAGAGAAUCCUAAGGUGAUCGAGAGAACUCUCCGUUAAGGAACUCGGCAAAAUGACCCCGUAACUUCGGGAGAAGGGGUGCUCUGUUAGGGUGCAAGCCCGAGAGAGCCGCAGUGAAUAGGCCCAGGCGACUGUUUAGCAAAAACACAGGUCUCUGCGAAGCCGUAAGGCGAAGUAUAGGGGCUGACGCCUGCCCGGUGCUGGAAGGUUAAGAGGAGCGCUUAGCGUAAGCGAAGGUGCGAAUUGAAGCCCCAGUAAACGGCGGCCGUAACUAUAACGGUCCUAAGGUAGCGAAAUUCCUUGUCGGGUAAGUUCCGACCCGCACGAAAGGCGCAACGAUCUGGGCACUGUCUCAACGAGAGACUCGGUGAAAUUAUAGUACCUGUGAAGAUGCAGGUUACCCGCGACAGGACGGAAAGACCCCGUGGAGCUUUACUGCAGCCUGAUAUUGAAUGUUUGGUACAAGCUUGUACAGGAUAGGUAGGAAGCCUUGGAAAACCGGAGCGCCAGCUUCGGUGGAGGCAUCGGUGGGAUACUACCCUGGCCUGUAAUUGACCUUCUAACCCGCCGCCCUUAUCGGGCGGGGAGACAGUGUCAGGUGGGCAGUUUGACUGGGGCGGUCGCCUCCUAAAAGGUAACGGAGGCGCCCAAAGGUUCCCUCAGAAUGGUUGGAAAUCAUUCGCAGAGUGUAAAGGCACAAGGGAGCUUGACUGCGAGACCUACAAGUCGAGCAGGGACGAAAGUCGGGCUUAGUGAUCCGGUGGUUCCGCAUGGAAGGGCCAUCGCUCAACGGAUAAAAGCUACCCCGGGGAUAACAGGCUUAUCUCCCCCAAGAGUCCACAUCGACGGGGAGGUUUGGCACCUCGAUGUCGGCUCAUCGCAUCCUGGGGCUGUAGUCGGUCCCAAGGGUUGGGCCUGUUCGCCCAUUAAAGCGGUACGCGAGCUGGGUUCAGAACGUCGUGAGACAGUUCGGUCCCUAUCCGUCGCGGGCGCAGGAAAUUUGAGAGGAGCUGUCCUUAGUACGAGAGGACCGGGAUGGACGCACCGCUGGUGUACCAGUUGUUCUGCCAAGGGCAUCGCUGGGUAGCUAUGUGCGGACGGGAUAAGUGCUGAAAGCAUCUAAGCAUGAAGCCCCCCUCAAGAUGAGAUUUCCCAUUCCGCAAGGAAGUAAGAUCCCUGAAAGAUGAUCAGGUUGAUAGGUCUGAGGUGGAAGUGUGGCGACACAUGGAGCUGACAGAUACUAAUCGAUCGAGGACUUAACC
rnacentral:rRNA from 1 species